rnacentral:rRNA from 1 species
GUGAUAUUAGCUAGUUGGUGGGGUAAUGGCUCACCAAGGCGAAGAUGUCUAGCGGGUGUGAGAGCACGAUCCGCGCCACUGGCACUGAGACACUGGCCAGACACCUACGGGUGGCUGCAGUCGAGGAUCUUCGGCAAUGGGCGCAAGCCUGACCGAGCGACGCCGCGUGUGCGAUGAAGGCCUUCGGGUUGUAAAGCACUGUCGAGGGGGAGAAAAGCGCAAGCUUGAUCUAUCCCUGGAGGAAGCACGGGCUAAGUUCGUGCCAACAGCCGCGGUAAGACGAACCGUGCGACCGUUGUUCGGAAUCACUGGGCUGCAAGGGCGCGUAGGCGGGUGGCCAAGUUCGAGGUGAAAUCCUGGAGCUCAACUCCAGAACUGCCUUUGAUACUGGAAAUCUUCGAGUCCGGGAGAGGUGGGUGGAACUGCGAGUGUAGAGGUGAAAUUCGUAGAUAUUCGCAAGAACACCAGUGGCGAAGGCGGCUCACUGG